GUCUACGGCCAUGCUACCCUGAACACACCCAAUCCAGUCUGAUCUCGGAAGCUAAGCAGGGUUGGGCCUGAUUAGUACUUGGAUGGGAGACCACCUAGGAAGACCAGGUGCUGUAGGCA
rnacentral:rRNA from 1 species